AUGGCCAGCCGCAACUGCAACAGAGAGCUGGUUUUCUCUAUUAGCUGCAACCUCUGCAAACCUGAGGAUGGCGAGUUAGCCGGGUGUAUGCAAAAUGUACUUGCAGAGCGAGGUUCAAGUUGUCUUUCUCAUUAUUUGGCCUUUGAAACUGCUCGAUGUGGUGUUGGAGCAACCCGCGGCCAUUCAGAUCGCAGCGGGAUUUUAACGCUGCGUGAUUCUGGUGGGUGCUUAAAGGAUCUGGGAGCAGCCCCUGACACCGGCCGCCUCCAUCAGGUUUCAAGCCUCUGCAAGAUCCUGACUGCUAGGGAACAAAGGCUGGUAUGCGGUUCCCUCAAAGGUCAGUCAUUAACCUACCCCAACAACAGUUUUAGGAAGAUCAAGGCAGUGGAGGGGAAAAAAAAAUACACAAGAAAAAGCACUUUCACUUUGGAAUGAAUUGUUGAAAGUGCCCUUAUACAUUCGGUUUUAUUCCCUUUCAGCUCUGCACUUUUUAGUUCCUGCACGUAUUUAUUUCUCAUCAGGAAUAAUGGCAAGAUUUGCUCUCCCAGAGGUUUGACCUUAAGUUUAUUCUACCCACAACACUAUAGACCAUUUCAUCAAUUAUGAAUGUACCCAUGUGUAUAGAGGAACUGGUAAGCCAGCUCGGUAAUACUACCUUGUUCUGGAGACUCACCCUUAUAAAUAAAUUAGGGGCAUAUCUUUAUGAAAUACCA
rnacentral:lncRNA from 1 species